UACGUAGGGUGCAAGCGUUGUCCGGAAUUAUUGGGCGUAAAGAGCUCGUAGGCGGUUUGUUGCGUCGGCUGUGAAAUCCCGAGGCUCAACCUCGGGUCUGCAGUCGAUACGAGCAAACUAGAGUGUUGCAGGGGAGACUGGGAAUUCCUGGUGUAGCGGUGAAAUGCGCAGAUAUCAGGAGGAACACCGGUGGCGAAGGCGGGUCUCUGGGCAACAACUGACGCUGGAGGAGCGAAAGCGUGGGGGAGCGAAACAGG
rnacentral:rRNA from 1 species